rnacentral:rRNA from 1 species
GACGUAGGGGGCGAGCGUUGUCCGGAUUCAUUGGGCGUAAAGAGCGCGUAGGCGGCCCGGAAAGUGGGGUGUGAAAACCCGAGGCUCAACCUCGGGCGUGCACUCCAAACUCCCGGGCUCGAGGCAGGUAGGGGAGAUCGGAAUUCCUGGUGUAGCGGUGAAAUGCGCAGAUAUCGGGAAGAACACCCGUGGCGAAGGCGGCUCUCUGGGACGGUACUGACGCUGAGACGCGAAAGCGUGGGGAGCGAACAGG